rnacentral:rRNA from 1 species
ACAUGCCUACAACAUAGCGUUAAUGCACCAGAUCCCAUUAGAACUCUGUAGUUAAGCGCGCUCAGGGUAGAGUAGUAUAGGGAUGAGUGACAGCCUAGGAAGUCCUAGUAUUUUACAUGCC